AAUCGUGUCCGUUUGGACAUGACUUCUGACGGACUCCAUCGAGCGAUCGUUGAUUCAAAAGAAGCAGGUCAAUUAUUUACUGAAAAGUUUGGAACAUUCCGAACACUUCGGUAUAAAAAUGGCGAGCUUCCUAAAACUAAGUUACCAAUUGAAGAACUUAUUCGACAUAACGUCGUAAAAGAAUUCUUGCAAUCAGCAUUUAGUUGUGAUGGUGGAGUGAGUUUGUAUGUAGCACGGAGAAAGACUAAAAAAGAUGAAGCUAAAUGGCUGAUUCGUGGAGUCUAUCUCGCUUGUGCUCAUCCAAAGCUCAGAAAAGAAUAUAUCACUCUCCUCCAAUCACUAGGUAUUACAGCCUGUGAUGCAGGGGAUGGUAAAGUAAAAAUAAGAGACAAAGAAAAUAUGAAAAAGUUUUAUCAAAAAGUCGGAUUUAUUGAUGGUGUGCAUAUUACGCACACAUCACGAUUCUGGCCGAACAUUGAAAAACAAAAACUUCUGGAAAAAAUGAUAGAUUCCUACCAUAAUCCAAAAGAAACAUAUUCGUUGCGACAGUUUACAUUAAGAUAAUGAUAUAGUCCGACCUCUAUGGCGACAUAGAGAUCCAUCUGUAAUACUGGGUACAGUGGUCUUCGAAAGAAGUAACACGUAUGUAGAUACCCCAGUAGUCCACGCCCUAAACUUUCCGAGCUGGUUUUUCGGAGUAUCGACCCUCUGAGAGACGAAGCUAACGCGUUAAGCUCGGCGCCUGGGUAGUACGACCGCAAGGUUAAAACUCAAAGGAAUAGACGGGGACUUGCACAAGCAGUGGAUUAUGUGGUUUAAUUCGAUGAUAAACGAAGAACCUUACCAAGGUUAGAAAUCCAACUGAAGGCACGCAGAAACGUGUGCCGUCUCACAAGGACAGUUGGACAGGUGAUGCAUGGCCGUCGUCAGUUCGUGAUUUGAAUUGUUCCCUUAAGUGGGGUAACGAACGCAACCCUCGUUGUCUGUUAUACGUAUCAGGCGAGACUGCCCAGCUUUUUGAGCGUAAGCUCAAAAAGCAAGUUGUAUAAGUUAAUAAGUCAGAAAAGUUGAAUAAGUUAGAAUUCAAAAACUUAUAAAACUUCUUAAACUUUUUUAACUUAUCAAACUACUUUUUGCUUGCUAGCAAAAAGCUGGGAGGAAGGCGAGGAUGACGCCAGGUCAGCAUGUCCCUUUGAUACCUUGGGCUACACACAUAAUACAAUGGCGACUACAACGAGUUGCGACGGGGUAACCCUGAGCCAAUCUUAAUAAAAGUCGCCCCAGUUCAGAUUGGGGGCUGAAACUCGACCCCAUGAAGUUGGAAUUGCUAGUAAUCGCGGGUCAGCUAUACCGCGGUGAAUACGUUCUCAAGUCUUGUACUCACCGCCCGUCAACUCAAGGGAACCGGGAAUACCCGAAGGCUAGCGUAUGCUAGACCACGGUAAAUUCGGUAACAGGGAGUAAGUCGUAAACUUGUUGCG
rnacentral:rRNA from 1 species